rfam:Alkanindiges sp. H1 contig34, whole genome shotgun sequence.
GGGGAUGUUCUGGCUUCGACGCUGGUGAUGAAACUCAAUGAUGCAUGCCGAGAGCGCAUUAUCUCUCGUAAAUCAAUCUUGCAUUUUUAUAGUCGCAAACGACGAAACUUACGCUCUAGCAGCCUAAGGGCUGCUUGUCCGCCGAACCAAAUAUCUGUGGUUGGUGAGGCCGACCGAAGCGCACGCACACAGAUCCGCACCGUGUAAUGUCCCGUGACAUGGUGUCAAACUUAGGGAAUCGCUUCUAACGUCCUGUUCGUUGGGCUGUUAGCGGUUAAAGCAAUAGACGAUAACUAAGCAUGUAGAUUCGUGGGCGUAGUGCUGGCGGACGCGGGUUCAAAUCCCGCCAUCUCCACCA